rnacentral:rRNA from 1 species
GAUACGCGCGGACCAGCAGCCGAGAGAAGACGUAUGGGUGCAGCGUGAAUGGGAAGUGCUGGGCGAAAAGCUGGCGCAGGAGGCUGUGUAAGACAGAUGGGAAAUCCCCGGGCGUAACCUGGGAACUGCAGUUGUGACUGCAAGGCUAGAGUACGGCAGAGGGGGAUGGAAUUCCGCGUGUAGCAGUGAAAGGCGUAGAUAUGCGGAGGAACACCGAUGGCGAAGGCAAUCCCCUGGGCCUGUACUGACGCUCAUGCACGAAAGCGUGGGGAGCAAACAGGAUUAGAUACCCUAGUAGUC